GUUCUAGCAUCUGGCCGGGGCGGCAGCCUGAGAGCCAUGGAGCCGCUGGGUGCAACACUGUCCUGCCCGUGUGCAUGGAGCUGCUUACGUUGCCUGCACUGCUGCUGUCCUGUUCCCACAACUUCUGCAAACAGUGCCUGGAGCUGAUCUUGGUUUACCAGAAUUGCACCCAGGUCCAGGGAUGGUUCUGUUGUCCAGUGUGUAGGAAAGACAUUUAUUUGAAGGGCAGGGGAACAAAUGGAUUGCAGGGAAACAUCCUGGCUGAAAAUAUCCUGGAAAAGCUUAAGGAAGUACUUGAGACACUUCACACCGGGGAGCAAAACCAGCUCGCUCAGAUGUGUGAAAAGCGUGGAAAAAUCAUGAAUCUGUUGUGCCUAAGUGAUGAAAAGCCAAUAUGCAGGAUAUUCAAGCUCUCUGGGGACCACAGUUCUCACCAGGUAGCCAAGAUUGCUGAUGUGUACACAGAAAGGAAAGCUAGCUUUGCUGAGGACAUUCAGCAGGUGCUGCAGAGAUCUGAGAGCACAGCCCAGGAAACGGAGCUUGGGAUCUGCAGCUAAGAGGACUUCCUUCUCCCAGUCCAUGUUUACAUUUCCAGGAAGGGACACUG